GGCCCACGUGACACGGUUAUGACCUAGCGGUCUACACACGCUGCUACAAUGGAUGGAACAAAGGGCAGCGAAGCCGCGAGGCCAAGCAAAUCCCAUAAAACCAUUCUCAGUUCGGAUUGCAGGCUGCAACUCGCCUGCAUGAAGCCGGAAUCGCUAGUAAUCGCGGAUCAGCAUGCCGCGGUGAAUACGUUCCCGGGUCUUGUACACACCGCCCGUCACACCACGAGAGUUGGUAACACCCGAAGUCGGUGAGGUAACCUUUUGGAGCCAGCCGCCGAAGGUGGGACCAAUGAUUGGGGUGAAGUCGUAACAAGGUAGCCGUAUCGGAAGGUGCGGUUAUUCAACCUCCUGAGAUCCGCAAUGCCUGAUACUCCACGGCGGCAUCGAAAUCCUCGUGUUGAACCGUAACGGAAUGAUUCACUUCAGCCUCCUGUCACUGGCGGUUUUUUUAAGAAAAGAAGUU
rnacentral:rRNA from 1 species